UACGUAGGGUGCGAGCGUCGCCCGGAUUCAUUGGGCGUAAAGGGCGCGUAGGCGGCCCGGCGCGUCAUGCGUGAAAUCUCCCGGCUCAACUGGGAGGGGUCGUGUGAUACGGUCGGGCUGGAGUGAGGCAGGGGGCAGCGGAAUUCCCGGUGUAGUGGUGGAAUGCGUAGAUAUCGGGAGGAACACCAGUGGCGAAGGCGGCUGCCUGGGCCUUUAUGCUGACGCUGAGGCGCGAAAGCGUGGGGAGCGAUCCGG
rnacentral:rRNA from 1 species